CAUCACUACGCUAGAUGCAUAUCAAUAAGCGGAGGAAAAGGAAACUAACUAAGGAUUCCCUUAGUAACGGCGAGUGAAGCGGGAAGAGCUCAAAUUUGAAAUCUUAAAGGGUUUCCCUUUACGAAUUGUAGUUUAAAGAAGUGUUUUCUGUUGGAGUUUCGGUAAAAGUUCUUUGGAAUAGGACAUCAUAGAGGGUGAGAAUCCCGUAUUUGACCGUUACUCUCCAGCUGUGUGAUACACUUUCAAAGAGUCGGAUUGUUUGGGAAUGCAGUCCAAAAUGGGUGGUAAAUUUCAUCUAAAGCUAAAUAUUGGCGAGAGACCGAUAGCGAACAAGUACCGUGAGGGAAAGAUGAAAAGAACUUUGAAAAGAGAGUUAAACAGUACGUGAAAUUGUCAAAAGGGAAGCGUUUGACACCAGUGUUGUUUAGUUGAAAAUCAAUUCAAUAAUUUUUGAUUUUAAGUAGUAUUGACUUCAUCAGCUUGCUGCUUUCUUUUCAGGAAAUUAUUGAAGUGCACUUUUCAGUUAACAAGUCAACAUCAAUUUCUUUUGUUGUAAAAGGGUAAGAGGAAGGUGGCUUACGCUUCGGCGUAAGUGUUUAUAGCCUUUUACCUCUGCAAUCGGAGAGAUUGAGGACAGCAGCGUAGACUCCUUCGGGGGUUAGAUACACUUGUGCUAAGCUAUAGCCUUGUAUAGACAACUUGUUGACUAUGCUCAGUCAUGUAGCUUACUCGCUUGAUGCUAUUUUACCUACGCUUAGGAUGUUGACACACGCGCGUGCUCG
rnacentral:rRNA from 1 species